UGUAGGGUAACUUUCGAGGUACAACCUUUAGAGUUCACUUCACGCCAAACCACCACAUGAGGGUGAACUCAGCCAACGCCAAGGAACGGCUAUGUUUUCAAAAUAAAAACAUGAUUUAUGUGUACAUGACUUUUUCACAACCUUGGCAGACUCGGUUGGGAUAGCCUUCGGCCAAGGUAUCCCUAACAAUCGAGUAUGAGAAUGAUUUUGGCACGAGCCAAGCUUUUAAGAUACUCAUA
rnacentral:lncRNA from 1 species